CAAAGUGCUGCUAUUGCAGGUAGUAGAAACGUGUUCUGAUCUACUGCAAUGGCGGCACUUGUGGC
rnacentral:pre_miRNA from 1 species